rnacentral:rRNA from 1 species
UACAGAGGUCCCGAGCGUUGUUCGGAUUCAUUGGGCGUAAAGGGUGCGUAGGCGGCGGGGCAAGUCUGAUGUGAAAUCCUGGGGCUCAACCCCAGAACUGCAUUGGAUACUGCCUUGCUCGAGUACUGGAGAGGGAACUGGAAUUUACGGUGUAGCAGUGAAAUGCGUAGAGAUCGUAAGGAAGGCCAGUGGCGAAGGCGAGUUCCUGGACAGUUACUGACGCUGAGGCACGAAGGCCAGGGGAGCAAACGGG